rnacentral:rRNA from 1 species
GACGAACGCUGGCGGCGUGCCUAAUACAUGCAAGUUGAGCGCUGAAGGUUGGUACUUGUACCAACUGGAUGAGCAGCGAACGGGUGAGUAACGCGUGGGGAAUCUGCCUUUGAGCGGGGGACAACAUUUGGAAACGAAUGCUAAUACCGCAUAAAAACUUUAAACACAAGUUUUAAGUUUGAAAGAUGCAAUUGCAUCACUCAAAGAUGAUCCCGCGUUGUAUUAGCUAGUUGGUGAGGUAAAGGCUCACCAAGGCGAUGAUACAUAGCCGACCUGAGAGGGGGGUCGGCCACAUUGGGACUGAGACACGGCCCAAACUCCUACGGGAGGCAGCAGUAGGGAAUCUUCGGCAAUGGACGAAAGUCUGACCGAGCAACGCCGCGGGAGUGAAGAAGGUUUUCGGAUCGUAAAACUCUGUUGGUAGAGAAGAACGUUGGUGAGAGUGGAAAGCUCAUCAAGUGACGGUAACUACCCAGAAAGGGACGGCUAACUACGUG